rnacentral:rRNA from 1 species
AAAUUGAAGAGUUUGAUCAUGGCUCAGAUUGAACGCUGGCGGCAGGCCUAACACAUGCAAGUCGAACGGUAACAGGAAGCAGCUUGCUGUUUUGCUGACGAGUGGCGGACGGGUGAGUAAUGUCUGGGAAACUGCCUGAUGGAGGGGGAUAACUACUGGAAACGGUAGCUAAUACCGCAUAACGUCGCAAGACCAAAGAGGGGGACCUUCGGGCCUCUUGCCAUCGGAUGUGCCCAGAUGGGAUUAGCU